rnacentral:lncRNA from 1 species
AAACUGCUGAUGUCGUGUUGUUGGUUGUUUAUUCCUCACCUCUUUUCCCUUUUAUUUCCAGCUACCUAUCUUUAAAAUCUCUAGUUGUUGAAGAUGAGACGAUGGAAAUUGUAGUUGUUCGAAGUCUUAUGAAUAAAUGAUGGUUUUCUUUAAAUAGUUAAUAUCAGUUACUUGUUUAGAAUUUUUAAGCUCAAUAGUGAAGAGUAAUGAUCUUUGGUCUAAAUGGUUCAUUGUGGUGCAGUGAUAGUAUGUUCUUUUGUUAACUAGUAGUUUGUCAAAUUUCAGUUAAACAUUCGAGAAAUUGUGUACAGGGACUCUUGAACUCAUAUGUUCUAUUUGGUAGUGUUAGCUUUAGUAUAAUUUGCUAUCAUGUUAGGCUAGAUGUUGAAUUUGGAACAUUAUAUAAGUCUGAAAAUGAUUUCAACCUGGUGUGCGUACUGAUACAAGAGUCAAUUCUAUGGAUGGUAGAUGUUUGAAAUAGUUCAUUGUCUUAGUGUUUAAUUUCCAUGGUUUAGUUUUGAGAUCAUAUGGCAAAGGUUUGAGAUCUGCAAAGUUCAUAGUUCAAUCGUCCAUGUAGAACGGACCACACAAAUAACAACUUUCUAGCCGCCUAAAGGAAGUAUUCAAAGAUAAGAUAACGCUAUGCGCACACAAGCUAACUUCAGGUAUGCAGUUAGUUCUCAAGCGAUUCCUUCGGAUCUUAGGUGCGACCUUAGGGAGCUUGUUUUGGCAGCUACUCUCUUAUAGUUAUGUGUCCUGGUUUCCGAGUUCUAGUUCAAGGCAGGG